rnacentral:rRNA from 1 species
AAUUUGUGCAAGAGCUUCAUUGAUUCCGGUGUCGCUCUCAUCAAGGGAGGUUUAUUUGACCACGGGAGCCUCGUAAAUGCCAUCAAGGGUGCAGAUGUCGUGAUCUCGGCCGUGGGGACCCCUCAGCUCGACGAGCAGACGAGGAUUGUCAUGGCCAUCAAGGAGGCCGGCAAUGUCAUCAAGAGGUUCCUGCCGUCUGAGUUCGGCUCUGACCCAGAGCGGGUUCACCCCGUGGAUCCAGCGACCACACUUUACGCUGGUAAAAUCAGCCUUCGCCGUCUGAUCGAGGCGGAGGGUAUACCUCAUACAUAUGUCUGCUGGAACGGGUUCGCCGAAACCUACCUUGUGAGCAUCGGCGAUGUUACGGCUGUUGGCACUGGUCCUCCGUCUGACAAGACCACUGUCCUAGGCGAUGGAGAUGCAAAUGGGGUGUUUGUGGUGGAAGAGGACAUAGCUGCCUAUACGGUGAGAGCAAUCGACGAUACGAGGACCCUGAACAAGAUCAUGUACAUGAGGCCGCCGGUGAACAUCGUGUCCCACAACGAGCUCAUCGCACUUUGGGAGAAAAAAGCGGGAAGGACUUUCCAGAUCGCUCGCAUCCCAGAGGCGGAUCUCCUCAAGUUGAUCAAGGGUAGGGUACAUCCAUCAUUGUGCUUUGAGAAUGUACGUAGCUACAACUGUUGCAUCUCUGACCACUCUUAA